UACGUAGUGUGCAAGCGUUGUCCGGAAUUAUUUGUCUUAAAGAGCUCUUAGGCGGUUCGUCGCGUCGGCUGUGAAAACCUGAGGCUCAACCUCAGGCCUGCAGUCGAUACGGGCGGACUUGAGUACUGCAGGGGAGACUGGAAUUCCUGGUGUAGCGGUGAAAUGCGCAGAUAUCAGGAGGAACACCGGUGGCGAAGGCGGGUCUCUGGGCAGUAACUGACGCUGAGGAGCGAAAGCGUGGGGAGCGAACAGG
rnacentral:rRNA from 1 species